UGGGGAAUAUUGGACAAUGGGCGAAAGCCUGAUCCAGCCAUGCCGCGUGUGUGAAGAAGGUCUUCGGAUUGUAAAGCACAUUAAGUUGGGAGGAAGGGCAGUAAGUUAAUACCUUGCUGUUUUGACGUUACCGACAGAAUAAGCACCGGCUAACUCUGUGCCAGCAGCCGCGGUAAUACAGAGGGUGCAAGCGUUAAUCGGAAUUACUGGGCGUAAAGCGCGCGUAGGUGGUUUGUUAAGUUGGAUGUGAAAGCCCCGGGCUCAACCUGGGAACUGCAUCCAAAACUGGCAAGCUAGAGUACGGUAGAGGGUGGUGGAAUUUCCUGUGUAGCGGUGAAAUGCGUAGAUAUAGGAAGGAACACCAGUGGCGAAGGCGACCACCUGGACUGAUACUGACACUGAGGUGCGAAAGCGUGGGGAGCAAACA
rnacentral:rRNA from 1 species